UACAGAGGUCCCAAGCGUUGUUCGGAUUCACUGGGCGUAAAGGGUGCGUAGGUGGCGGGGUCAGUCUGACGUGAAAUCUCCGGGCUUAACCCGGAAAUGGCGUUGGAAACUACCUUGCUUGAGGGUUGGAGGGGGGACUGGAAUACUUGGUGUAGCAGUGAAAUGCGUAGAUAUCAAGUGGAACACCAGUGGCGAAGGCGAGUCCCUGGACAACUCCUGACACUGAGGCACGAAAGCUAGGGGAGCAAACGGG
rnacentral:rRNA from 1 species